AUUGAACGCUGGCGGCAGGCCUAACACAUGCAAGUCGAGCGGAUGAAGGGAGCUUGCUCCUGGAUUCAGCGGCGGACGGGUGAGUAAUGCCUAGGAAUCUGCCUGGCAGUGGGGGAUAACGUCCGGAAACGGGCGCUAAUACCGCAUACGUCCUGAGGGUGAAAGUGGGGGUUCUUCGGACCUCACGCUAUCAGAUGAGCCUAGGUCGGAUUAGCUAGUUGGUGGGGUAAAGGCCUACCAAGGCGACGAUCCGUAACUGGUCUGAGAGGAUGAUCAGUCACACUGGAACUGAGACACGGUCCAGACUCCUACGGGAGGCAGCAGUAGGGAAUAUUGGACAAUGGGCGAAAGCCUGAUCCAGCCAUGCCGCGUGUGUGAAGAAGGUCUUCGGAUUGUAAAGCACUUUAAGUUGGGAGGAAGGGCAGUAAGUUAAUACCUUGCUGUUUUGACGUUACCAACAGAAUAAGCACCGGCUAACUUCGUG
rnacentral:rRNA from 1 species